UACGGAGGGUGCAAGCGUUAUCCGGAUUUACUGGGCUUAAAGGGUGCGUAGGCGGGCUUUCAAGUCAGUGGUGAAAUCUCCGGGCUCAACCUGGAAACUGCCAUUGAUACUAUUAGUCUUGAAUUUUGUUGAGGUAGGCGGAAUAAGUCAUGUAGCGGUGAAAUGCAUAGAUAUGACUUAGAACACCAAUUGCGAAGGCAGCUUGCUAAGCAAAUAUUGACGCUGAUGCACGAAAGCGUGGGGAUCAAACGGG
rnacentral:rRNA from 1 species